UACGUAGGGUGCAAGCGUUAAUCGGAAUUACUGGGCGUAAAGCGUGCGCAGGCGGUUAUGUAAGACAGGUGUGAAAUCCCCGGGCUUAACCUGGGAACUGCAUUUGUGACUGCAUAGCUAGAGUACGGUAGAUGGGGAUGGAAUUCCGCGUGUAGCAGUGAAAUGCGUAGAUAUGCGGAGGAACACCGAUGGCGAAGGCAAUCCCCUGGACCUGUACUGACGCUCAUGCACGAAAGCGUGGGGAGCAAACAGG
rnacentral:rRNA from 1 species